rnacentral:rRNA from 1 species
GCCCAGCACCGAAUCCUUCACCAUCUCGGUGACAGGAAAUGUGGUGUUUAGGCCGUACCUUGUCCCGACACGUCUCUCCUCAAGUCCACUUGAUUGUGGCCCCAGGCCCAGAGAGGGUGUAAGGCCCGUGGAGGCGAGACGUUCGGUACCUGGUGCGUCCUUAGAGUCGGGUUGUUUGGGAAUGCAGCCCUAAGCGGGUGGUAAACUCCAUCCAAGGCUAAAUACCAGCACGAGUCCGAUAGCGAAGAAGUACCGCGAGGGAAGGUUGAAAAGAACUUUGAAGAGAGAGUUCAAGAGUACGUGAAACCGCUGAGAGGCAAACUGGUGGAACUGAAAUGGUCCCGAGGAAUUCAGCCGUUGGUCGUUGCACAGUCUUUGGUGAUUGAUCUAACGACGGCGCCAUUGAAUGACGUUUCGAUCAUCGGUGCACUUUCCUCGCCUGGGCCCGACCACGACCGGUGAGCUGAUCUGUCUGUCGUGCUUGGAAGAUAGCGCCGUCUUCGGAAGGCGUGUUAUAGACAGGCAUACGGAGCAGUCGGCGCACUGGAUGAUAGUGCCUGCCCAUCUGGGCUCAUAUGGUGGUUGUUUUGUUGGCGAGUUCUGAUGUCACUACUUCGGUAGAGUCGUUAGACUCUGUUGGCAUUAUGGCUGUCCUCUAUGAUUGGCACUGUUAAGUCUGUGGUUGUGAAGUAGGUAGUCCACCUGACCCGUCUUGAAACACGGACCAAGGAGUCUAACAUGUGCGCGAGUCAUUGGGUUCACGAAACCUAAAGGCGCAGUGAAGGUAAAGAUCUGUUUUGGCAGAUUGAGGUGGGAUGCCGGGUUACGCGCCCGGCCGCACUACCGGCCCGUUCUAUAUGUCUUUCAUAGGAGCGGAGCAAGAGCGUACACGUUGGGACCCGAAAGAUGGUGAACUAUGCUUGCGCAGGUCGAAGCCAGAGGAAACUC